rnacentral:ncRNA from 1 species
GUAAAAAAUUUAUAAGAAUAUGAUGUUGGUUCAGAUUAAGCGCUAAAUAAGGACAUGACACAUGCGAAUCAUACGUUUAUUAUUGAUAAGAUAAUAAAUAUGUGGUGUAAACGUGAGUAAUUUUAUUAGGAAUUAAUGAACUAUAGAAUAAGCUAAAUACUUAAUAUAUUAUUAUAUAAAAAUAAUUUAUAUAAUAAAAAGGAUAUAUAUAUAAUAUAUAUUUAUCUAUAGUCAAGCCAAUAAUGGUUUAGGUAGUAGGUUUAUUAAGAGUUAAACCUAGCCAACGAUCCAUAAUCGAUAAUGAAAGUUAGAACGAUCACGUUGACUCUGAAAUAUAGUCAAUAUCUAUAAGAUACAGCAGUGAGGAAUAUUGGACAAUGAUCGAAAGAUUGAUCCAGUUACUUAUUAGGAUGAUAUAUAAAAAUAUUUUUAUUUUAUUUAGUUCCGGGGCCCGGCCACGGGAGCCGGAACCCCGAAAGGAGAAAUAUUUAAUAUUUAUAAUAAUAAUAAUAAUAAUAUAUAUAUAUAAAUUGAUUAAAAAUAAAAUCCAUAAAUAAUUAAAAUAAUGAUAUUAAUUACCAUAUAUAUUUUUAUAUGGAUAUAUAUAUUAAUAAUAAUAUUAAUUUUAUUAUUAUUAAUAAUAUAUUUUAAUAGUCCUGACUAAUAUUUGUGCCAGCAGUCGCGGUAACACAAAGAGGGCGAGCGUUAAUCAUAAUGGUUUAAAGGAUCCGUAGAAUGAAUUAUAUAUUAUAAUUUAGAGUUAAUAAAAUUAAUUAAAGAAUUAUAAUAGUAAAGAUGAAAUAAUAAUAAUAAUUAUAAGACUAAUAUAUGUGAAAAUAUUAAUUAAAUAUUAACUGACAUUGAGGGAUUAAAACUAGAGUAGCGAAACGGAUUCGAUACCCGUGUAGUUCUAGUAGUAAACUAUGAAUACAAUUAUUUAUAAUAUAUAUUAUAUAUAAAUAAUAAAUGAAAAUGAAAGUAUUCCACCUGAAGAGUACGUUAGCAAUAAUGAAACUCAAAACAAUAGACGGUUACAGACUUAAGCAGUGGAGCAUGUUAUUUAAUUCGAUAAUCCACGACUAACCUUACCAUAUUUUGAAUAUUAUAAUAAUUAUUAUAAUUAUUAUAUUACAGGCGUUACAUUGUUGUCUUUAGUUCGUGCUGCAAAGUUUUAGAUUAAGUUCAUAAACGAACAAAACUCCAUAUAUAUAAUUUUAAUUAUAUAUAAUUUUAUAUUAUUUAUUAAUAUAAAGAAAGGAAUUAAGACAAAUCAUAAUGAUCCUUAUAAUAUGGGUAAUAGACGUGCUAUAAUAAAAUGAUAAUAAAAUUAUAUAAAAUAUAUUUAAUUAUAUUUAAUUAAUAAUAUAAAACAUUUUAAUUUUUAAUAUAUUUUUUUAUUAUAUAUUAAUAUGAAUUAUAAUCUGAAAUUCGAUUAUAUGAAAAAAGAAUUGCUAGUAAUACGUAAAUUAGUAUGUUACGGUGAAUAUUCUAACUGUUUCGCACUAAUCACUCAUCACGCGUUGAAACAUAUUAUUAUCUUAUUAUUUAUAUAAUAUUUUUUAAUAAAUAUUAAUAAUUAUUAAUUUAUAUUUAUUUAUAUCAGAAAUAAUAUGAAUUAAUGCGAAGUUGAAAUACAGUUACCGUAGGGGAACCUGCGGUGGGCUUAUAAAUAUCUUAAAUAUUCUUACA